rnacentral:rRNA from 1 species
UAUGGGAUGGGGUCGCGUCCUAUCAGCUUGAUGGCGGGGUAACGGCCCACCAUGGCUUCGACGGGUAGCCGGCCUGAGAGGGCGACCGGCCACAUUGGGACUGAGAUACGGCCCAGACUCCUACGGGAGGCAGCAGUGGGGAAUAUUGCACAAUGGGCGCAAGCCUGAUGCAGCGACGCCGCGUGCGGGAUGACGGCCUUCGGGUUGUAAACCGCUUUUGACUGGGAGCAAGCCCUUCGGGGUGAGUGUACCUUUCGAAUAAGCACCGGCUAACUACGUGCCAGCAGCCGCGGUAAUACGUAGGGUGCAAGCGUUAUCCGGAAUUAUUGGGCGUAAAGGGCUCGUAGGCGGUUCGUCGCGUCCGGUGUGAAAGUCCAUCGCUUAACGGUGGAUCCGCGCCGGGUACGGGCGGGCUUGAGUGCGGUAGGGGAGACUGGAAUUCCCGGUGUAACGGUGG